rnacentral:rRNA from 1 species
GUUCAAGAGUACGUGAAACCGUUCAGGGGUAAACCUGAGAAACCCAAAAGAUCGAAUAGGGAGAUUCAUCGUCAGCAUGUUUCGUAUAUGUAUGAGUUAUGAUGCGGGUUACUUUUGUAUUGCUUGCACAUUCUUGUAUAUUUAAUUGCGGAAUAUGUCGGCGUGCACUUCUCCCUUAGUAGAACGUCGCAACCCGUUGAGUGUUGGUUUAUGACCCGAGUGGGAGCCUUUAACGUUUUUAACAUUGAAGACCCUUGGUGUUCUAACUGACUGUUCGACGGUACUCGUAUGGUAUUAAGUCGCAUAUUUUAUGCGUUCAUAUCUGUCACAAGCGAGGUUAAUUUCUGGCAGUACGGACCUUGUGCCGUCGUUGGAUUUAACCAGCUGUUGGUUGACGGUAUUCUAGAACAGAUUUAUACCGGUUGGCGAUGCU